GUUAAACGGCCGCGGUAUUUUGACCGUGCAAAGGUAGCGCAAUCACUUGUCUUUUAAAUGAAGACCUGUAUGAAUGGUGAAACGAGGGCUUAACUGUCUCCCUUUUCAAGUCAAUGAAAUUGAUCUAUCCGUGCAGAAGCGGGUAUACAAAUACAAGACGAGAAGACCCUUUGGAGCUUAAGACUAAAAAUCAACUAUGUCAAAUCUUUUAAAUAAAACUAAAUAGUAACUGAUUAUAAUCUUCGGUUGGGGCGACCACGGAAUAAAAGCAAACUUCCACAUGGACUGAGGAAUAGCCUUAAAACUAAGAAAGACAUUUCUAAGUCACAGAAUUUCUGACCAAAAAGAUCCGGCAAUUGCCGAUCAAUGGACCAAGUUACCCAAGGGAUAACAGCGCAAUCCCCUUUUAGAGUUCUUAUCGACAAGGGGGUUUACGACCUCGAUGUUGGAUCAGGACAUCCUUGGUGC
rnacentral:rRNA from 1 species